AAGAGAACACGUCGCCCUUAUUUAUGGCCACUCAGAGUGAUGAGUGCUUGGCUGAUGAGGGAUGUGUGUGUGCGCAUGUGUGUAUGCAGACAGACUGAAUGCCCCAGACAGCACAGACGACGUGGGAUGGAUACUGAUGUGCAGUCUGUCUACUUAGCUGGAGGAGGAGGGGUGGUCAAGGUGACCCACUACCAGUUGUAUUGAUAUGGAGACGCCAUUAUCUGCUCCGACUGCCGGGCUGGCUGGAUGACAAACAUGGAGUCGAAAUCAUGGAAAUGGAGGAUCGAAAUCAAAACAUAUUAACCCUGCAUAGGAAUGAAUGUGUUUUUGCCCAAAGCUGCCAGAGAACAAAGCAAAGCUGUAUUACUACUCCCAUCACAUAUCUAUAAUAUGAAUAAAGAUCUGGUAACCUUUUA